rnacentral:rRNA from 1 species
CAAUAGCGUAUAUUAAAGUUGUUGCAGUUAAAAAGCCCGUAGUUGGAUUUCUGGUUGAAGCGACCGGUCGGGCGUUGAUUCGUCUGCACUGGAGUCGGUUUUGGCCAUCCUCUAGGAAAGUGCGUCUGGUAUUAAGUUAUCGGGCGUAUGAUCCUGGUCUUUUACUGUGAAAAAAUUAGAGUGUUUAAAGCAGGCCUUCGCCUUGAAUACAUUAGCAUGGAAUAAUAAGAUAGGACUUUGGUCUAUUUUGUUGGUUUGCAGACCGAAGUAAUGAUUAAUAGGGAUAGUUGGGGGUAUUUAUAUUCCGAUGUCAGAGGUGAAAUUCUUAGAUUUUCGGAAGAUAAACUUAUGCGAAAGCAUUUACCAAGGAUGUUUNCAUUA